rnacentral:rRNA from 1 species
GAUGAACGCUAGCGGCAGGCCUAAUACAUGCAAGUCGAACGGUGUCUUCGGACAUAGUGGCGCACGGGUGCGUAACACGUAUGCAACCUACCUUACAUUGGGGGAUAGCCUUUCGAAAGGGAGAUUAAUACCGCAUAAGACAGUAGCUGGGCAUCCAGCAGCUGUUAAAGAUUUAUCGAUGUAAGCUGGGCAUGCGUCCAAUUAGCUAGUUGGUGAGGUAACGGCUCACCAAGGCAAUGAUUGGUAGGGGAACUGAGAGGUCAAUCCCCCACACUGGCACUGAGAUACGGGCCAGAAUCCUACGGGAGGCAGCAGUAGGGAAUAUUGGGCAAUGGAAGCAAGUCUGACCCAGCCAUGCCGCGUGCAGGAUGAAGGCGUUAUGCGUUGUAAACUGCUUUUAUACAGGAAGAAACGACUCUUGCGAGAGGCAUUGACGGUACUGUAUGAAUAAGCACCGGCUAACUCCGUGCCAGCCGCCGCAGUAAGAC